rnacentral:rRNA from 1 species
AUUGAACGCUGGCGGCAGGCCUAACACAUGCAAGUCGAGCGAGCGGCGGACGGGUGAGUAAUGUAUGGGGACUGCCCGAUAGAGGGGGAUAACUACUGGAAACGGUAGCUAAUACCGCAUACUAUCGGAUAACCCAUAUGGGAUUAGCUAGUAGGUGAGGUAAUGGCUCACCUAGGCGACGAUCCCUAGCUGGUCUGAGAGGAUGAUCAGCCACACUGAGACGGGGACACGACCCAGAAUCCUACGGAGGCAGCAGUGGGGAAUAUUGCACGAUGGGCGCAAGCCUGAUGCAGCCAGGCCGCGUGUAUGAAGAAGGCCCUAGGAUUGUAAAAUACUUUCAGUCGGGAGGCGUUACCGACAGAAGAAGCACCGGCUAACUCCGUGCCAGCAGCCGCGGUAAUUC